GGGGCCUGCUGGGAGCGGGGGGUGGAGUCUCUCUCUCUCUCUCUCUCAGGCGGGAUGGGUGUGGAGGUGCCGGAUGGUUGCUACUCGGCCGCCGGGCCGGUCGGCUUGGGAACAGCAGCGGUCUCCUGAUGUAGGCAGACAGUGCCCAUUGAUGCACUUUGCUUAGUUGACAAAUACCGCUUUACGAGAAAUUGAUAUGACGGUUCCUGAAUGUGGAGAAAAUGAGUCUGAAUGAAUAGAAGACUACAGUUUCUGUACAUACGGCCUUGUAUACUAUGUAAAUAUUUCUACAGAACCAGCUCAAGUUCGGCAGCAUUUCUUCCACCAGAAGAAUGUUCUGGAAGAAAUAUACAGGCUUAGCCUCAAUCCUGCACUGGGAUCUGCUACUCUAGAGCCCCUCAGAGUCGUGUUGGAGUCAAUGGAAUUCCUCAAGAGCACAAGGACCAAGCACUGGAUCCUUAUGCAGGACUGGGGCUUAAAUAUUAAAAAUAGAACUGGUUGAAUUAUUUAGUGUUCCUUUCAAAAAUGCUAUGAUGUUUCUUUGUACAGUGACUCCAAGAAAACAGUGAAUUGUUACAAUUGUGGCAAUAAUCAGAUAUAAAUGAUCCAUCAACAUUUAGCAGAAUGGGAUGGAUAUUUGCUUACUUCAAAGGCAGGUGAAAUGUAGGCUUAAGGAUGUGACAACUCUGAUUCACUUACUUAUACCAGCAUUGUAGGACAAUAUUUGCAUUUGAUCACACACCAAAACUACUUUCCUUUUCUCUCCUUUGGCCCAGGCCAGGGUACUUCUGCCGCCCCUCCCUGUUGCAGACACCCAUUACAUGCUUGUUCCUGCUUGCCUGAUCCCUUCCCUCACCCCUAUCUGUUGUCCCUUGCAGUUGUUUGGAUUCAUAGUCUAUAUUCAGCAAAUACCAAGACUAAGUUAUUUGCUAUUUGGCCAAUUAUUAAAAACAUGCAUACGUUAGGCAUAAAUGACCUGGCAGUGCUUGUUUAACUGAUGUGGGACACCGCAGUGCUGCUAACUCCUUCCAGGACAACAGAUUCAAACCAAACACUCUUAGAUCAGAGUGUAAACAAGUCAACAUACUAAAUUCCUGAGUAUGCAAAAAAUAAAUCUGAAAUUCUCAUUAUUCCUUAAGGACUCAAUCCUGCAAGGUUAAUAUUUACCCUAUGUGAAGAAUUCAUACUUAUUGUUGAACUGUUCUUAAUUCUUAUUAAGAAAAAUCAAUCUUUUUAAACAUUGUUUAGCCAGAUGAGAUGUUAAAAAAAAAAACAACCCACUGUGACGCUGGCAGGCCAGGUGCCAGCUCAUGCCAAGGUCCCCAUGUCUCAACAGACACAUAGCUGGAAUCUGUUUGGCAUUUAGUGUGUGAAGCUGUGAAUGCUUGUAAAUUGCUGCAUGCAUUAAUCUCACUUGUAAUAUCUGUAUUCCAUAUUAUAAUGCAGUGGAUGUACUGUGAGCCUCGGUGAUCAUAUGAAUCGCCAUACAGGAAAGAGACAUUAAUUAGUGUGAAGCAUAGGUGCCAACUUCUCCUGGCGCCAGUGGGUGCUCAUGCCCCACCCCCCAACUCCACCCCUGCCCUGCCCCCUCCUGCCCCGCCCCCAUUCCAAUCCCUUCCCAAAAGUCCCCACCCCAAGUCUGCCCCUUCCCUGCCCCUACUGGACUCCUUCCCCAAAUCCCUUCCCCGGCCCCGCCUCUUCUUUGCCUCCUCCCCUGAGUGCGCCGCGUUCCCGCCCCUCUCCCUUCCCUCCCACAGCUUGUUACGCCAUGAAACAGCUGUUUUGUGGCGGCAAGCGCUGGGAGGAGAAGCGGGGACACGGCAUGCUCAGGGGAGGAGGCAGAGGCGAGCUGGGGAGGGGGGCGGGGUGGAGAGCUUGCCUGCUGGUGGGUGCAGAGCAGCCACCAAUUUUUCCCCAUGGAUGCUCCAGCCCCGGAGCACCCACGGAGUCGGCACCUAUGGUGUGAAGAGCUGCUCUUCUCAUUUAGCAUGACUUUCAGAAUCUAGGGGAAAGUCUGAGUAUUGCAUUUCAAAGUGCUCUGACUUAGCUUCCUACAUAACUGAGUCCAUCCAUGUGAAGAUAGAUAUUUUUAGCAAGAAAAAUAAACUAAGUUCUAAAAAGUUAAAAGUCAAAAACAGUGUUACUGUUCACUGAACAUGCUGGGUCAGGGAUGCCUUCCUCACCUCCAGCAACAGCAACAAAAGCACCAUAAGCCACACAAAACUGAAACAAUGUCAGAUAAGAAAUGGUUUGCCAGGGAAGCAAAAGGUUUAGAAAUCCACUAAAUAAUCAAGCUGACUACACCUGCAUGAGUGUACCCCAUUUUCCAAAAUAUGCUAUCAGGGUAGCAAAGCUUUUCCUUGGUUCCUAGAAAUCCUGUAGCAUUGCUGAAAAAAAACUCCCAACAAACUGAUGUUGGUACAGACAGUGACUGUUAGUGGGAAUCACAGAGGAAGUGGCUCCUACCUUUCUAAGGACCAGGAAUGUAGGUAGAAACCCACCUGAUAUUUUUCCCUUGUCCACUUUAAUUAAUUAUGUACUUUGAUAUUCCUUUAACAUUAGAUGUUUAUAAAUAAAAAUCUUGAUGCUUUUUUGGACAUCAGUUGCCACUUCUGAAAGGAAACACUGGGAUAACAUGACAUAAAAGAACCUUCCACUUCUUCAGCAAGAUCUCAAAAUGCUUUACCAAAAAAAAAUCAUGAAAUAAACCUCAAAACAUCCAGUAAAAAAGGUAAUUAGCCCCAUUUUAGAUGGGGAAACUGAGGCUAAAAGUCAUGCUCCAUGUCACAUAAGUCUUUGGCAGAGAAAAGAGACCACAACUGGUUUUACUCUGGCAUUUUAACCAUUCGGCCACACUUCCUCUCAUAGUGAUCACACUUGUCAGAGUAACACUGAUACAACCAACACCAUCAAAGCAAACCAUACUUUGCAGUGAGGCACCUAGUGAAAUGACUUAUAGAAGUACCAGCAUUUUGAAAUUGAAAUCAAGAGGAAAAACAACGCUGAUCUGGUAGGAUAGACUGUGCCUCAGUCUCACCUGUUACCAUAUAAACAGUGUCAUAUUUGAGGUCCUGAGGGUGCCCUCAUCACAGAACUGGGUUGGGGCACAUUGUCAGGGAAGCUUUAGUACUUUUGCGUGCAGCUUAGGAGAGGACCAUAAUCAUCACUGCCCUGAGUCUGCCAAUUCACUUUCACAUGAGGGAAAACAGAAAGAAAGAAAAGCCUACAAGUUCUUCCUGUGGUAAGAGUUUGUUCUGGACAUUCAGGAACUUAAAAUGAUUUUAACCUUUUAGAGUGUAUUUUAGAUGUUUACAUCACAACCACCACACACAGACCUUCCUCUGCAAGCAACUCCUGUCUCCAUAUAUGGAGAGUUUUGGCUCACAGGAAGAGCUGACUGGCAAAUAAAAGGUGCUGCAAUUCUUCAUCCUGGGAAGAGGGCAACUAGUGACGUGAGGAUGUGCCAUCUUCUCAGGUAUAAGAGAGAGGGAAAACAAUAGGAGCUAAGACUACUUACUGGCUAGAAGGGAGAGAGGUGUAGCACAGUCAAAAUGGCCACCUUAAGACUGCAACUGUUAAUCUCUGCCAGAUUUAAAGGGCUAGCUAUCAGAAAGAGUGUGCUGGGAAAGGUUCCUUUUGAGCUAUGAUAUCCCAUGUAAAAUCCUCAUGGAGAGAAGGCACUGUAGUUUUUACCUUGCUGUAGCUUAGCUAGUCAAGGUCAACCUCAGAUGGGUGGAAUAUAGGGUUUACCUUGACUAGCUACAGAGAGGUAAGAACUACAGUGUCUUCUCUCCAUGAGGAUUUUACAUUGAGUUACCUACCUCAACGUGAGAAACACACCAUCUUUUGUAGCCUACAAAGGUGAACCCAUACUAGUGAGUUCAGUGGAAAUCACAGGGGAAGAAGUUCUAACUUUCUAAGGACUAGCAAUCUAGAUAGAAUCCCGUGUGAUAUUUUCCCUUAUGUGCUUGAAUUAAAUAUGACCUUUGGUUUUCUUUUAGCCUUAUGUUUUUACAAUAAAAUUCUAGAUUUUUUUAGGACAUCACCUGCUUCUUGUGCCUAAAGUUUACUGCCACCGUAUCACAGCUGAUAUCUGUGCAGUCUCAUUUUAUGACAACCUGUCUUUUUAACUACUACCACGUAGGCUUUUCCCUUCUGAGUCCACCGGACCUCUCAAAUGCCUAUCAGCUGAAAGAGGAUAGCUCUCCUCUCAGUGGUUAGAAAAUCAGAGUUACAAACCUUGGACAGUAGCAAGGCACUGUGGAGUGGAGAGAAAAUGUUAGUUCAAAAGUUGAUUAUCUCAGUGGGUGCCUGGGCACAUUUGCUUAUUUAUAGGAAUUGCCCUAGUUGAUCCACCUUGUAUUGAGGGAGCAACAGGCUCCAAAAAGAGGAAAUGUCUUCCAAAUAACAGAAAGCAGGUAACUGCAGUAUGGUGCAUUAUGAAAUUCAAUGUAUCUACAUUAUAAAAAUGAAGUUUAUCUUUAAGCAGUUACUUCUACAUAAUGUAAAGGCUUCCUGCGAAGUCUGUUUGCUCUACUACAAGUUGAAUGCAAAAGAUCAAAUGUUAGAUGUAUUUUCUCCAUUAAAUAUUACUCAUAGAUAAUUCCACCAGGAGAACACUCUAAGCUUGUAGACUUUAAGAUCAAAAGGGACCAUCAUGAUCAUCUAAUCUGACCUCCUACAUCUUGCAGGUCACAGACCCUAACCCACCCACUCCUGUAAUAGACCCAUAACUUCUGGCUGCGUUACUGAAGCUCUCAAAUCAUGGUUUAAAUACUUCAAGUUACAGAGAAUUCACCAUUUACACUAGUUUAAAGCUGCAAGUGAUUCAUGCCCCAUGCUACAGAGGAAGGCAAAAAAAACCCCCCAAACCCAGGGUCUCUGCCAGUCUGACCUGGGGGGAAAUUCCUUCUCAACCCCAAAUAUGGCAAUCAGUUAGACCCUGAGCAUGUAGGCAGGACCCACUAGGCCAGACAUUUGGUAAAGAAGCUGCACAAUUACCAACCUGUUGUGAAGCUG